GCGGCGUCGGCUUACAAGGCUCAGUUCCUUGGUUUAGUUGACACGAACAUGCAACAUUGGGUUUGGGAGAUGUGGGCUCCCCCCAAAUGCAAAUUCUUUGUUUGGCUUGUUACCAACAAUAGGAUUUGGACAGCUGACAGGCUCCAACGACGAGGAUGGCCUAACUGCAAUACUUGCCCCUUAUGCAUGCAAGUUCAAGAGUCGGCGGCCCAUCUCCUUUUCCAAUGCCGCUACACCGUUAGGGUCUGGGGAAUGAUCAAAUCUUGGCUCGGCUUACUUGAUGUGCACCCAUCGGCCUGGGUGGCUCUAGACUCAGUGAAGGAUUGGCGGAACCUAAUUGCUUCCAACAUGUCGCAAUCCCGGCAGGAAAUGAUGUCUCUCAUUAUGCUUAUCUCGUGGGAAAUUUGGAAGGAGAGGAAUGCUCGAGUUUUCCGCCACACAGCGGUGCCUGUAGGGGUUCUUGUUGCUAGAAUUAGAGAGGAGUCAAAGCUAUGGUGUCUUGCGGGAAUCUUUGAGUAA
rnacentral:rRNA from 1 species